AAUAAAGGAACUGUUCAUUACUUAGCUGAAUCAGUCCUACGUUAUAAAUUAACUGCUCAUCAGUUCAGGUCAGUCAGCUCACCUGUAUCUCACCUGUAGGAAACAGUGACGUCACUUGGCUUCAGUGCAGCUGCUGUAUAUCAACAGUCUGAAAGCCGAACCAAACAGAACCUGCCGGUUCUGAUCCGGCUCCAGGUGUUGAACGAAGUUCUACUGGAGAGUUCCUGGAGUUGUUGGGUUUAAACCGAGAUGUUCUGGUUCGGUUCGUUCAACACUAACAG